AUUGAACGCUGGCGGCAGGCUUAACACAUGCAAGUCGAGCGGGGUGAUGGUGCUUGCACUAUCACUUAGCGGCGGACGGGUGAGUAAUGCUUAGGAAUCUGCCUGUUAGUGGGGGACAACAUCUCGAAAGGGAUGCUAAUACCGCAUACGUCCUACGGGAGAAAGCAGGGGAUCACUUGUGACCUUGCGCUAAUAGAUGAGCCUAAGUCGGAUUAGCUGGUUGGUGGGGUAAAGGCCUACCAAGGCGACGAUCUGUAGCGGGUCUGAGAGGAUGCUCCGCCACACUGGUGCUGGAGCACGACCCAGACUCCUAAGGAGGGCAGCAGUGGGGAAUAUUGGACAAUGGGGGGAACCCUGAUCCAGCCAUGCCGCGUGUGUGAAGAAGGCCUUAUGGUUGUAAAGCACUUUAAGCGAGGAGGAGGCUCUUUUGGUUAAUACCCNAGAUGAGUGGACGUUACUCGCAGAAUAAGCACCGGCUAACUCUGUGCCAGCCGCCGCCGUAA
rnacentral:rRNA from 1 species